rnacentral:rRNA from 1 species
AUUGAACGCUGGCGGAAUGCUUUACACAUGCAAGUCGAACGGCAGCACGGGAGCAAUCCUGGUGGCGAGUGGCGAACGGGUGAGUAAAGUAUCGGAACGUACCUUUCAGUGGGGGAUAACGUAGCGAAAGUUACGCUAAUACCGCAUAUUCUGUGAGCAGGAAAGCAGGGGAUCGCAAGACCUUGCGCUGAUGGAGCGGCCGAUAUCAGAUUAGCUAGUUGGUGAGGUAAAGGCUCACCAAGGCGACGAUCUGUAGCGGGUCUGAGAGGAUGAUCCGCCACACUGGCACUGAGAUACGGGCCAGACUCCUACGGGAGGCAGCAGUAAGGAAUAUUGGUCAAUGGUGGGAACACUGAACCAGCCAUUCCGCGUGAAGGAUGAAUGCCCUCUGGGUUGUAAACUUCUUUAGUCUGGGACGAAAAAGCUUCAUUCAUGAAGAACUGACGGUACCAGAAGAAUAAGCACCGGCUAACUCCGUGCC